ensembl:lncRNA
CCUUGUCACCCCGAACUACAAGGAAAGCAGGAAAUGAAUGACAUGGAGAAGCUCAUCAGGGAACUCUCUACCAGCGCCACUGACACACUGGCCAUGAUCGACGCCAUCGGAGACAGCCUGCUCAGUGGCAUCAAAUGUCGUAUUGCCACCUUGAAAAAGCAACUGCAGAGUGAGCACUGCUCCAAGCUGGAGAAGUUACAGCUGGUUGCCCGGGAACUUGAAGCCCCCCGAGAGCUUUACCAGCAGAUGAAGAUGCUCCUGCAGCAUCAUGCUAACACAGUGCAAUUUCUCCACGAGCAUAAAAGGCUCAAGGGGGAGAUGAAGAGACUCGUGGAGGGCAGCGUGUCCCCCGCAGUCCCCACCAAGGACACUAUUUCCAUCAGGCGCUAUUUUCAAGAGCUCAUUAGAGGAAUAGACAUCACUGCCUUUGCCCCGCCUGAGACUGACCAAGUGCCGGCCAGCAUGGCUGGGCUCCAAGAGGCCUGGCAGGCAGGCUGUGCCAUGCAGGGCCGUCUGUCGCAACAAGUGCUUGAGGAUAUUUUGUGCAAGGCAGUGUCGGGCUCAGGGCCAAAACCAAAUCAAGAGGCAAAGCUUCCUAGGAACCCAUCUUAUGCUUACUCAGUACAAGGAAGUGAGAUUGGUUCUAGAGAAUCAACCGUGUAAGGUAUUAUUUUGGUCUCAAGAUGUCAACAACUUUUAUCAUUUUGUCUGUAACUUGAAAGUUGCUGGACUUUGCUUCUUAAAAAGAAAAUUAAAAAA